CCGGCCUACCGGAUGUUGAGUGAGGAGAAAAAAACAAUUGAAUCACGAAUACAAUAAGCUAACAUUUAAAAUUAUGGCACACACCACUGUAUCUGAACGUUGGCGGAAACAUACAUGUUAUGUGCAAUGCAUUAUUUAUAAAUAUUGAUAUUUUGUCGGGUUUGGACUACAAAACGGUAUGUUGACAUUAGCUAGCUAGCUUUCAUCAUGUCGACAGCUAUCUAACUGGUGAAUCGAGAACAAGUUUGCACUAACACAUUUUUGGCUUGUUCUUUUCACUUCGAUUAGAUCACUGGAUGUCAGACAGCCUCAAUGGGUUGUGGUGUCUACAACCUAUCAAUUUGAUUCAAGACAUGGAGGACACAAGGUGCAACAUUUAAACCCAACAGAACAACACUACAUCAGUGUGUACCUGGGGACAGUAGUGGGGGUUACCUGGCUAGUUUGUGGUGGAAGAGGAGACACGUGGUUUGAACAAAAGCUGGAUGAUCGUUCUUGCCUCCUGGGCUGUUAUUGGAGGAUCUACGUUGAACAUUUAUCUUUUCCUCAUCAGUCCCGCCAGAGAGCCUGUCUAAAAAUAAAGACAGUAAGUAUUAAAAUAGCAUAAUUUAGUCACUAAUGCAUGUUGGAAAUAGUAGCAUCUUGUUACUUGUAUCCCAGAGGCUAGAAAAACUCCAUCCUGAAUCUAGAUUUAAUGAGAAUUCACCUCUUCCCUAUGUUUGGUUUGAAAACACAGAGCAAGAGACUGACUGACAUGGGAAGUAAAAUUUUCUUCAGUAGAGGAGUCAAUGAUGAGGAAACGGUCAGCCUUAUCUGCUGCCCAUAGCAACCCUCCUAAACCCUUGCUUGCCCUGACUAACGAGAAACCGGUAACUGCUGAUACUGGCAAUGGAGACGCUACUGUUCUAAUGUGUCCCCCUUCAGGGUAUUUUCAUGUCUAGAACUGUGUAUCUGAUACAAUAUACCCAUAUAUUUGUGCGAUAUGUGCUGCGUUUGGCUGUUUCUAUAUUUGAUUAUGAAAACUAAGACCGGCGCAAAAGAGAAGUAUUAACGCGUUAUACCCUUUUUUUAAUAUAUAUGUU